AUUGAACGCUGGCGGCAGGCUUAACACAUGCAAGUCGAACGAGUGGCGGACGGGUGAGUAAUGUUUGGGAAUCUAGCUUAUGGAGGGGGAUAACUACUGGAAACUGUAGCUAAUACCGCGUACCAUAGGAUGAGCCCAGGUGGGAUUAGCUAGUUGGUGAGGUAAAGGCUCACCAAGCCGACGAUCUCUAGCUGGUCUGAGAGGAUGACCAGCCACACUGGAACUGAGCCACGGCCCAGACUCCUACGGGAGGCAGCAGUGGGGAAUAUUGCGCAAUGGGGGCAAGCCUGACGCAGCCAUGCCGCGUGAGUGAAGAAGGCCUUCGGGUUGUAAAGUUCUUUCGGUAGCGAGGCGUUACCUACAGAAGAAGCACCGGCUAACUCCGUGCCAGCAGCCGCGGUAAUAC
rnacentral:rRNA from 1 species